UACGGAGGGUGCGAGCGUUGUCCGGAAUCAUUGGGCGUAAAGGGCGCGUAGGUGGCCCGGUCAGUUCGUGGUGAAAGCGCGGGGCUCAACCCUGCGUCGGCCAUGAAUACUGCCGCGGCUGGAGCACUGUAGAGGCAGGCGGAAUUCCGGGUGUAGCGGUGGAAUGCGUAGAGAUCCGGAAGAACACCGGUGGCGAAGGCGGCCUGCUGGGCAGUUGCUGGACACUGAGGCGCGAAAGCCAGGGGAGCAACAGG
rnacentral:rRNA from 1 species